UACGUAGGGGGCAAGCGUUGUCCGGAUUUAUUGGGCGUAAAGAGCGUGUAGGCGGCUAGGUAGGUCCGUUGUGAAAACUCGAGGCUCAACCUCGAGCUGUCGAUGGAAACCAUCUAGCUAGAGUCCGGAAGAGGAGAGUGGAAUUCCUGGUGUAGCGGUGAAAUGCGCAGAUAUCAGGAAGAACACCCGUGGCGAAGGCGGCUCUCUGGUACGUGACUGACGCUGAGACGCGAAAGCGUGGGGAGCGAACAG
rnacentral:rRNA from 1 species